CGUAAUACGUAGGUGGCAAGCGUUGUCCGGAAUUAUUGGGCGUAAAGCGCUCGCAGGCGGUCUUUUAAGUCUGAUGUGAAAGCCCACGGCUUAACCGUGGAGGGUCAUUGGAAACUGGAGGACUUGAGUACAGAAGAGGAGAGUGGAAUUCCACGUGUAGCGGUGAAAUGCGUAGAGAUGUGGAGGAACACCAGUGGCGAAGGCGACUCUCUGGUCUGUAACUGACGCUGAGGAGCGAAAGCGUGGGUAGCGAACAGGAUUAGAUACCCUGGUAGUCCACGCCGUAAACGAUGAGUGCUAGGUGUUAGGGGGUUUCCGCCCCUUAGUGCUGAAGUUAACGCAUUAAGCACUCCGCCUGGGGAGUACGGCCGCAAGGCUGAAACUCAAAAGAAUUGACGGGGGCCCGCACAAGCGGUGGAGCAUGUGGUUUAAUUCGAAGCAACGCGAAGAACCUUACCAGGUCUUGACAUCCUCUGAUACCUCUAGAGAUAGAGUUUUCCCUUCGGGGACAGAGUGACAGGUGGUGCAUGGUUGUCGUCAGCUCGUGUCGUGAGAUGUUGGGUUAAGUCCCGCAACGAGCGCAACCCUUGAUCUUAGUUGCCAGCAUUCAGUUGGGCACUCUAAGGUGACUGCCGGUGACAAACCGGAGGAAGGUGGGGAUGACGUCAAAUCAUCAUGCCCCUUAUGACCUGGGCUACACACGUGCUACAAUGGAUGGAACAAAGGGAAGCGAACCCGUGAGGUCAAGCCAAUCCCAUAAAACCAUUCUCAGUUCGGAUUGUAGGCUGCAACUCGCCUACAUGAAGCCGGAAUCGCUAGUAAUCGCGGAUCAGCUGCCGC
rnacentral:rRNA from 1 species